rnacentral:lncRNA from 1 species
UAUCACAACAUUUAUUGGUAUACAUUAAAGGUAAGUAAUUUACUUUUCCCUUUCAAAUUCUUGAAAUUCUACGAUUUGCUUUUAUAUACAAACAAAGACAACAAAGUUUGAUUAUAACUCUAAUGGAGUUUGCAAGAAAUUACAUUCACAUGAAGUGGUAAAAUUUCUAUGUCUUACCAUGAUCAAAUUCAUGAAUGAUUGUGGGCAAAGAAUUGAAAAUCCGUCCUAUUGAAUUUGCUCCAUUCCCUUUAAAGAAUGUGGUAGCAGUAUGUGAUAAGUCUGAAAGAA